UGCCURAUACAUGCRAGUCGAACGAACUCUGGUAUUGAUUGGUGCUUGCAUCAUGAUUUACAUUUGAGUGAGUGGCGAACUGGUGAGUAACACGUGGGAAACCUGCCCAGAAGCGGGGGAUAACACCUGGAAACAGAUGCUAAUACCGCAUAACAACUUGGACCGCAUGGUCCGAGUUUGAAAGAUGGCUUCGGCUAUCACUUUUGGAUGGUCCCGCGGCGUAUUAGCUAGAUGGUGRGGUAACGGCUCACCAUGGCAAUGAUACGUAGCCGACCUGAGAGGGUAAUCGGCCACAUUGGGACUGAGACACGGCCCAAACUCCUACGGGAGGCAGCAGUAGGGAAUCUUCCACAAUGGACGAAAGUCUGAUGGAGCAACGCCGCGUGAGUGAAGAAGGGUUUCGGCUCGUAAAACUCUGUUGUUAAAGAAGAACAUAUCUGAGAGUAACUGUUCAGGUAUUGACGGUAUUUAACCAGAAAGCCACGGCUAACUACGUGCCAGCAGCCGCGGUAAUACGUAGGUGGCAAGCGUUGUCCGGAUUUAUUGGGCGUAAAGCGAGCGCAGGCGGUUUUUUAAGUCUGAUGUGAAAGCCUUCGGYUCAACCGAAGAAGUGCAUCGGAAACUGGGAAACUUGAGUGCAGAAGAGGACAGUGGAACUCCAUGUGUAGCGGUGAAAUGCGUAGAUAUAUGGAAGAACACCAGUGGCGAAAGGCGGCUGUCUGGUCUGUAACUGACGCUGAGGCUCGAAAGUAUGGGUAGCAAACAGGAUUAGAUACCCUGGUAGUCCAUACCGUAAACGAUGAAUGCUAAGUGUUGGAGGGUUUCCGCCCUUCAGUGCUGCAGCUAACGCAUUAAGCAUUCCGCCUGGGGAGUACGGCCGCAAGGCUGAAACUCAAAGGAAUUGACGGGGGCCCGCACAAGCGGUGGAGCAUGUGGUUUAAUUCGAAGCUACGCGAAGAACCUUACCAGGUCUUGACAUACUAUGCAAAUCUAAGAGAUUAGACGUUCCCUUCGGGGACAUGGAUACAGGUGGUGCAUGGUUGUCGUCAGCUCGUGUCGUGAGAUGUUGGGUUAAGUCCCGCAACGAGCGCAACCCUUAUUAUCAGUUGCCAGCAUUAAGUUGGGCACUCUGGUGAGACUGCCGGUGACAAACCGGAGGAAGGUGGGGAUGACGUCAAAUCAUCAUGCCCCUUAUGACCUGGGCUACACACGUGCUACAAUGGAUGGUACAACGAGUUGCGAACUCGCGAGAGUAAGCUAAUCUCUUAAAGCCAUUCUCAGUUCGGAUUGUAGGCUGCAACUCGCCUACAUGAAGUCGGAAUCGCUAGUAAUCGCGGAUCAGCAUGCCGCGGUGAAUACGUUCCCGGGCCUUGUACACACCGCCCGUCACACCAUGAGAGUUUGUAACACCCAAAGUCGGUGGGGUAACCUUUUAGGAACCAGCCGCC
rnacentral:rRNA from 1 species